rnacentral:rRNA from 1 species
ACCUCGGGUGACAGGGAGACAGGUGGUGCAUGGUUGUCGUCAGCUCGUGUCGUGAGAUGUUGGGUUAAGUCCCGCAACGAGCGCAACCCCUACGUUUAGUUGCUAACAGGUGAAGCUGAGCACUCUAGACGAACUGCCGUUGACAAAACGGAGGAAGGUGGGGAUGACGUCAAAUCAUCAUGCCCCUUAUGUUCUGGGCUACACACGUGCUACAAUGGCCGGUACAGACGGAGGCGAAGCCGCGAGGCGGAGCAAAUCCGAAAAAGCCGGUCUCAGUUCGGAUUGCAGGCUGCAAUUCGCCUGCAUGAAGUCGGAAUCGCUAGUAAUCGCAGGUCAGCAUACUGCGGUGAAUACGUUCCCGGGCCUU